rnacentral:rRNA from 1 species
GACGAACGCUGGCGGCGUGCUUAACACAUGCAAGUCGAACGGAAAGGCCCUGCUUUUGUGGGGUGCUCGAGUGGCGAACGGGUGAGUAACACGUGAGUAACCUGCCCUUGACUUUGGGAUAACUUCAGGAAACUGGGGCUAAUACCGGAUAGGAGCUCCUGCUGCAUGGUGGGGGUUGGAAAGUUUCGGCGGUUGGGGAUGGACUCGCGGCUUAUCAGCUUGUUGGUGGGGUAGUGGCUUACCAAGGCUUUGACGGGUAGCCGGCCUGAGAGGGUGACCGGCCACUUGGGGCGUGAAACCCGGCCGGAACCCCGCGGGGGGCAGGAAGGGGGGAUUUUUGCAGAAUGGGGGGGGGCCUGAUGCGGAAACCCCGGGUGGGGGAGGGGGGCCUUCGGUUUUGAACCCGUUUCCGCCUGGGACGAAGGGUGGGUGACGGUAAUGGGUAAAGAAGCACCGGCUAACUACGUG